AAUGAACGCUGGCGGCAGGCCUAAAACAUGCAAGUCGAACGCCCUAGCAAUAGGGAGUGGCGCACGGGUGAGUAACACGUGGGAAUAUGCCUUUUGGUACGGAACAACGUCUGGAAACGGACGCUAAUGCCGUAUGGUCCCUUCGGGGUAAAGAUUUAUCGCCAAAAGAUUAGCCCGCUUCUGAUUAGCUAGUUGGUGAGGUAAUGGCUCACCAAGGCGACGAUUAGUAGCUGGUCUGAGAGGACGAUCAGCCACACUGAGACUGAGACACGGCCCAGCCUCCGACGGGAGGCAGCAGUUAGGAAUAGUGGACCAUGGACGCAAGUCUGAUACAGCCAUGCCGCGUGAGUGAUGAAGGCCUUCGGGUUGUAAAGCUCUUUAGUCCACGAUUAUAAUGACUGUAGUGGAAGAAUAAGCCCCGGCUAACUUCGUGCCAGCCGCCGCCGUAAUAC
rnacentral:rRNA from 1 species